rnacentral:rRNA from 1 species
AUUGAACGCUGGCGGCAGGCCUAACACAUGCAAGUCGAACGGUAACAGGAAGAAGCUUGCUUCUUUGCUGACGAGUGGCGGACGGGUGAGUAAUGUCUGGGAAACUGCCUGAUGGAGGGGGAUAACUACUGGAAACGGUAGCUAAUACCGCAUAACGUCGCAAGACCAAAGAGGGGGACCUUCGGGCCUCUUGCCAUCGGAUGUGCCCAGAUGGGAUUAGCUAGUAGGUGGGGUAACGGCUCACCUAGGCGACGAUCCCUAGCUGGUCUGAGAGGAUGACCAGCCACACUGGAACUGAGCCACGGACCAGACUCCUACGGGAGGCAGCAGUGGGGAAUAUUGCACAAUGGGCGCAAGCCUGAUGCAGCCAUGCCGCGUGUAUGAAGAAGGCCUUCGGGUUGUAAAGUACUUUCAGCGGGGAGGAAGGGAGUAAAGUUAAUACCUUUGCUCAUUGACGUUACCCGCAGAAGAAGCACCGGCUAACUCCGUG